CUUGUGAUGUCAUCAAGUGGUAGUUUUCAACCAUUUUAACUCCUCCUUGUACCUUUAGUUCAGUCGACUGACAACUCCAGGACUGAAAUGAUCCAAAUGAUUCUAUAAAUGAAGGUGUGUGGAGUUUAAAAACACAGUGGAGCACUUCCUGUAUCACCACAUGAUGACAUCACAAGGUGGAACAGAGUGUUUUCAGUUUGAGAGAAGAACUCAGCCUAAAUCUGCAGGUUUGUGUGUUAAACAUGUGAAUGAAACAAAAAAACACAACUCCAGGUCUGUUUGUGACGAGGAAACGACAUUAUAUCAG
ensembl:lncRNA